AGGGUUUGAUCAUGGCUCAGAGCGAACGCUGGCGGCAGGCUUAACACAUGCAAGUCGAACGGUCCUUCGGGAUAGUGGCGGACGGGUGAGUAACACGUGGGAACGUACCCUUAGGUUCGGAACAACACAGGGAAACUUGUGCUAAUACCGGAUGAGCCCUUCGGGGGAAAGAUUUAUCGCCUUUGGAGCGGCCCGCGUCUGAUUAGCUUGUUGGUGAGGUAAUGGCUCACCAAGGCUACGAUCAGUAGCUGGUCUGAGAGGAUGGCCAGCCACACUGGGACUGAGACACGGCCCAGACUCCUACGGGAGGCAGCAGUGGGGAAUCUUGCGCAAUGGGCGAAAGCCUGACGCAGCCAUGCCGCGUGGAUGAUGAAGGUCUUAGGAUUGUAAAAUCCUUUCACCGGGGACGAUAAUGACGGUACCCGGAGAAGAAGUCCCGGCUAACUUCGUGCCAGCAGCCGCGGUAAUACG
rnacentral:rRNA from 1 species